UUCCGGUGGUAAAGUACGUCUGAAAUAUGAAGGAUAUUAAAAUGUUGGUCUGUCCCCUUCAUUUCGUAAACAUCAAUUGUUAAAGUGAAAGUAAGGUCAGUUGUGUGUACAUUUUGACAUGAUAUUUUAUUGAUACACGAACUGAUGUUACCGUCACGUAUAAUCCGUCUUGUAUAUAAUACAUCAUAGAUAAUUUUUACAAUCACCACCACAAAUUGUUUGUUAGAUACGACAUUUCUAUGUCUCAACUCACUCACGACAAGUUUUCGUAGUCUUUUUA
rnacentral:lncRNA from 1 species